rnacentral:rRNA from 1 species
CCUACGGGAGGCUGCAGUGGGGAAUAUUGCACAAUGGGCGAAACCCUGAUGCAGCGACGCCGCGUGAGGGAAGAAGGCAUUCGGUAUGUAAACCUCUAUCAACAGGGAAGAAAAUGACGGUACCUGAGUUAAAAACCCCGGCUCACAACGUGCCAGCAGCCGCGGUAAUACGUAGGGGGCAAGCGUUAUCCGGAUUUACUGGGUGUAACGGGGUCGUAGACGGCAGUGCAAGUCUGGAGUGAAAGGCGCGGGCUCAACCCCCGGACUGCUCUGGAAACUGUACGGCUGGAGUGCAGGAGAGGUAAGCGGAAUUCCUAGUGUAGCGGUGAAAUGCGUAGAUAUAAGGAGGAACACCAGUGGCGAAGGCGGCUUACUGGACUGUAACUGACGUUGAGGCUCGAAAGCGUGGGGAGCAAACAGGAUUAGAUACCCCGGUAGUC